rnacentral:lncRNA from 1 species
AUUUUUCUACCACACAAAUCAAUCAUGGUACUAAACUUUCAGAAAGCAUAGCUUCAACUUUUACAGUGCGUAAUCAGAAAAAGAAGAAGCUUAAUUAACAAAUAUAAUACAAGAUUCACUACUAAAUAUUGAAGGAGUAGCAGAAACAGAAGAAAUUAUUUCAAGAAUAAAGGGGUUCAAGAACUAAACUAUGAACAAAUCGUUUAAUACUAGGCUUCAAACUUUCACUUUUAUUUCAUUCUUCCAACUCGAGCUUCACAGUAGAUAAGAUUCAGACAUGCACCUGGGAACUAAAAGAGAAACAAAGAGGUGAAGGAUCAGCAAGGAGCACCAGUAGAAACCAACUCAAAAAUCAACAAAGAAACAGUAUAACACCAGCAGAGCAAGCUUCAAAGCCCUGGCCAAUUCCAGACUUCUAAAACCCAGUUUGAACCAUUCUAUUGAACCCUUGAAAUUCUGAUUUACCAAAGGAAAUAGAAAUCGAAAACCCAAGAAAAAACUCAAGCAAAUUUCAGUAUUCUUACUUAAGAGAAAAUAGUCAGCCGCUUUCAAUUUUUGUGUUUUUCAAUUUCCUGAAAUUUGCCUUGUUCAAGAAGAAUAUGCAAGGUAUUAGGGAAGCAAAGCUGAAAAUAAUUUUGCACUUUACACCCUUUGGAAUUUUUAUUUUUUCUUACAUAUCCUUAGUGUAAAAAUCAGAUUUCUGAGUCAGUCACAAUCCCAGCUUCUAGAAAAGCUUCCUAUUCAGUUAUUAAAGAUUCUCCUACUUAGAAUUCCUAAGCUACCCCUUCACGGUUUUUACCCUAAAAUCUCAAUGUCAAGUUGACCCAAUAGUUUAAACCAAAGUGAAGGGGCUAUUUAUUUUGCAAAUGGGUCAGAAACAAACCAAAGCCCAAACAACAAAAUUAUCCAAACUACAUUCUAUAAUCACAUAGAAGGCAGAAGAAAAGAAAUACUUAAAUGAUUUCAAAAUUAAAGAUAUAGUCUAAAUUAAUGAUUAAUAAACAAGCUAGAAUUAACUAAAUUAUCAAAUUAAUACCAAAUAUAACUGGGUUGAAUAUCAGGCUAAAACAAAAAACUCAAAAUCUAAACAGGUAAAAUGCAUAAACCAACAAAAUUAAUGAAAAUUAAAAUGAACAAAAACAAAGAAAAACUAAAAUAGGAGAUUAAGAGGGUAUUCACUAAAUUUAUCAGAAGAAAACAAAACUUAAAGAAAAAAAUUGAAGAAAAAGAGAAGAACAGAUGUGAAACAACAUAAAAAGACAAACAAAACACAAAAGAAAUGCAGAAACUUACCAAAUAGACUCGAAAUCGAUUUUGAUAUUCGAACUUAACCCAAUAUAAUGCUAAUUGCUUGUUCUUUUUCAAGAACCAGUGACCAUCAUUAUUUUGUGGUAAGUUAGCCUUGAGAAACUCAGGAAAUUCGAGAAAUAGCCUUGCAUGCAACCAAUUUAAGAAUAGGCAUAUUAGGAUUUUAGGGCUAGAACUCAGAUUCAAGAUUCAACAGGUUUGAGAAAGAUUGGAGGAAAACAAUUAGAAAUUGGGAAGAGGAGAGCGAAAGGGUGCUAAGGUAUAUAUUUGGGGGCGAUUGGUGGUGGCGCUGCCACUGGAGAGUGGAGACUAUAGGGAUGACGCUAGGGUUCUGCUUAGGUCGUCUUUGAGAUAGAGAUAAUGAGAGACGGAACUGGGGGGCGAUGGUUUGGACAGUUUUAUAAUAAGUGAUGAGGCAGUUCCGAGCCGUUGCAUGAUGAGAACCCAACUGCUCUGAUUGAUGGAGUAAAAACGAGGGCGUUUGUUUGUUUGGAGAUUGGACCAAUUUUUUAACGGGUUUGGGCUUAUUUUACCUAGGUUUCAGGGGUAUUCAAUUGGGCUUGGGAAAUUUCAAUUGUUUUUGGCCCAAACAAUCUGAUCUCUUCUUUUUUUUUUCUUUUUUUUUAUUUCAAAAUUCUUUUCUUUACUCAAAAUUAAAUAUUUAAAACCUAAAUUAUAUCUUAAAACUAAAUUAGCAUAUCAAAUUAAGC